rnacentral:rRNA from 1 species
CAAUAGCGUAUAUUAAAGCUGUUGCGGUUAAAAAGCUCGUAGUUGGAUUUCUGUCAAGGACAACUGGUCCGCCCUCCGGGUGAGCACAUAGUUUGGUCUUGGCAUCUUGCUGGAAACUGUUGCUGCGCUUGGUUGUGUGGUGCAGCUUUCAGCACUUUCACUUUGAGGAAAUUGGAGUGUUUCAAGCAGGCACAUGCCUUUGGACACAGUAGCAUGGAAUAAUUAGAUUGGGCUUUUGCUCCAACUUGUUGGUUCCUGGAGCUGAGGUGAGAAUCAAUGGGGAUUGUUGGGGGCAUCCGAAUUUAGCCGUCAGAGGUGGAAUUCUUGGAUCUGCUAAAGACGGACAACUGCGAAAGCGUUUGCCCAGGAUGUUUNCAUUGA